rnacentral:rRNA from 1 species
AUUGAACGCUGGCGGAAUGCUUUACACAUGCAAGUCGAACGGCAGCACGGACUUCGGUCUGGUGGCGAGUGGCGAACGGGUGAGUAAUGUAUCGGAACGUGCCCAGUCGUGGGGGAUAACGUAGUGAAAAUUACGCUAAUACCGCAUACGAUCUAUGGAUGAAAGCGGGGGAUCGCAAGACCUCGCGCGAUUGGAGCGGCCGAUAUCAGAUUAGGUAGUUGGGGAGGUAAAGGCCCACCAAGCCAACGAUCUGUAGCUGGUCUGAGAGGACGACCAGCCACACUGGAACUGGGACACGGUCCAAGCUCCUACGGGAGGCAGCAGUGGGGAAUUUUGGACAAUGGGCGAAAGCCUGAUCCAGCCAUUCCGCGUGCAGGAUGAAGGCCCUCGGGUUGUAAACUGCUUUUGUACAGAACGAAAAGGUUUCUACUAAUACUAGGAGCUCAUGACGGUACUGUAAGAAUAAGCACCGGCUAACUACGUGCCAGCCGCCGCAGUAA